UUAUGGGAACCUAAAUGUGGGAAGUAUUUAAAUUUUACGGCUUUGGAGAAGUCCAAACCAUUCUUCAACACUAAUAUGCACAUAAACACUAAAUAGAAAAGGGAGUCCAGCCUUGACGUGAUUGGCAGUGUACAGGGACAGAAAGUGGACAAAAAAGUGGACAAAGUCAGCAUUUUGUCUUCUCAACAUGGCAGGAAUGGUGCAAGCAUGAAAAAGUAGAACACGUUAGCUUAUUUGAAGAGUAAAUUUCACACAAAUGGUGAAUAAUGUGUCAGCUCAGCACAGAAAACUAAAGGUCAAGUUCAACUUGGACACGUCCCACCUCCCCAGUGACUCACCUCUGCUGGUUAAUUGG